GCAGCCACUCAUUCAAAGAGUGCGUAAUAGCUCACUGGUCGAGUGAUCCUGCGCCGAAGAUUUCCGGGGCUAAAACUUACUACCGAAGCUACGGCAUCAGUAAUGAUGGGUAGGGGAGCUUCCCAUAUGGGUUGAAGCAUGACCGUAAGGACAUGUGGACAGUAUGGGAGUGAGAAUGUUGGCAUGAGUAGCGAGAUGUGGGUGAGAAUCCCACAGGCCGUAAACCCCAGGUUUCCAGGGGAAGGUUCGUCCGCCCUGGGUUAGUCGGGACCUAAGCUGAGGC
rnacentral:rRNA from 1 species